CUUGCCUCCUAAUUAGAGGCUAGUAUGAACGGAUAGACGAAAGCAUAUUUGUCUCCCCUAUGGCACUAAAAAUUAUCCUUCGGGUGAAGAGACCCGGAUACUAUAAAAAGACGAAAAGACCCUAUGGAGCUUUACUCUCCUUAAUAUUUAAAAGAAGUGAAAAAGAAAUUUCUUUAUUAAAAAAGUUUAGUUGGGGCGACUAAGGAGUACAACAAAGCCUCCUUCCUCUAAAGAAAAUAAAUCAUCCUAAAAUCCACGCAAGUGAAUAAAAAUCCAGCUACCCUAGGGAUAAC
rnacentral:rRNA from 1 species